rnacentral:rRNA from 1 species
UACGAAGGGAGCUAGCGUUGUUCGGAAUCACUGGGCGUAAAGGGUGCGUAGGCGGGUCUUUAAGUCAGGGGUGAAAUCCUGGAGCUCAACUCCAGAACUGCCUUUGAUACUGAAGAUCUUGAGUUUGGGAGAGGUGAGUGGAACUGCGAGUGUAGAGGUGAAAUUCGUAGAUAUUCGCAAGAACACCAGUGGCGAAGGCGGCUCACUGGCCCGAUACUGACGCUGAGGCACGAAAGCGUGGGGAGCAAACAGG